UAAACAGUGAUAAUAAAUAUAUACUUCUUUACAUAACAUGCAUAGUGUGGAGCUACUAUGCAAUCGAAAGUAUAGAGAAUUUAAUACUUUCAAUUUUUUGACCUUUAGAUCAAGAAUUGUAUGGCAAGGAUGAUUGUGGUCUUUUCUAGGGUUGAGUAGUAUCCUUAAAAUUGAGUGGUCUAUAUAGGGUAAUAAUAUUAAUUCAAAAGUUAAAAGUGACUAAAGGGACUGAUUUAAGAGUCAAAAAGUCGAAACAUCAGAUCCUCUAUACUUUCGAGAGCAUAGUAGCUCUACUCGCAUGCAUAUAUACUAGUAACAUUAA
rnacentral:lncRNA from 1 species